rnacentral:rRNA from 1 species
UACGUAGGGGGCUAGCGUUGUCCGGAUUUAUUGGGCGUAAAGAGCGUGUAGGCGGCCAGGUAGGUCUGCUGUGAAAACUCGAGGCUCAACCUCAGUUCGCGUGGGAAACCACCUAGCUAGAGUCCGGAAGAGGAGAACGGAAUUCCCAGUGUAGCGGUGAAAUGCGCAGAUAUUGGGAAGAACACCAGUGGCGAAGGCGGUUCUCUGGGACGGUACUGACGCUGAGACGCGAAAGCGUGGGGAGCGAACAGG